GUUGUAAAAGUCCCAAUAGUAAGGGGUUUUCACCACCUCCCUCAAAGCUACACAAUUCUAGGGUUUGAAGGUCAGUCAUUUCCCUAACCAUGUAACAAAACCCAAAAUAACAUCUAUAUACAGUGCGUUUGAUACCACUUGGUACCAGGAGGUCUUUAAAUCUAACAUGUUUUGUUUUACCUCAAUAGAUAUCUGUUUCAAUAAAUAUUUGGCCCACUUCACACACCUACUUGCAUUAAUGAAAUCCUGAAUUUUGUAGUGGAAUGUAUAAACAGCUACAAAAGUCAAAGAAAUAAGGGACAAGGGAACAAAGGGAGAUUUUUUCUUCCUUUCCUGGAAGGUGAAUCUUACAGCAAGAAUUUGAACUCAGGCUCUUCUCCACAGCCAAACAUUCUCAACAUGCUCACCUCAAUGGCACUUUCUGCUUCCAGGAUACUUUUAUAAACAAACACAAGAUUAACCUGUCCCAGCUGCACUGCUGUUACAGUGGCUGUGUUCACAUCCAGCUGAGCCACUGGAAGAUGGUCAGACCCACCAGCUGCAAUGAUUUGAUCACGCAGUUCAAGUUCAUAAUGUUCAAAAGCUUCGGAAUUUCAUUUUGAACCCGUGACCCCUUCCUGUCACAUUACUCUUUGUCUACGUACCACGAUCUUCAGCUAUAACAACACU